rnacentral:lncRNA from 1 species
UGUAGAGAGACAGACCUUUAUCGAGUGCUUAAUAUAAGGCAGUCACUGUGCUAUUUCAAAAUGAUACAGGUGUGCAUAAUUCUAAACCAUUUCCAGGGUGAAAUCUGCUCAGAUUACCAUAUGAUAGCUAUGGCAUAUGAAAGAGAUUCUAGAAAGAAUGUAGAAAACCUGUGAGUAGUAUUUCUGAGUGAUGUCUAUUGUUACUGUCACCAUGUUUAAGUCCCUUUCCAUACACUAUCCACUAAUCCUCACUUAAUAGUAAUGGCCAUUACUCUUGUUUUAGAGAUGAAGAAAUAAGUUUUAGAGCAGUAGAAUCAGCUUGCUAUGGUUGACAUAACAAACCCCACAGACUGGGUGGCUUAAACAACAGAAAUUUGUUGUUCCGGAAUUCCCCAUAAUGGCAAAGCGUCCAGGUUGUCAAGGGGUGAGAACUGUUUCCCUGUACCUGGAGUGUUGCGGGGGGAGGGAUUAGCUCUGAAAAGUGGACAUUCACUUCUCACGCACUUCUCUCAUCCAGCUCUGUGGACCUUCCGGUAAAUAAAGCUCUGGCUGGACCCAGUGCUGGCCGGUCAGGGUGUGCCCGGUCACACUUCAGUCCUCAAAGGGAAUGCAGCGCAAUCUGUGAGCCUUUCUACAAACAAAAAUUAACUAACUUAACUCUGGAUGUUUAAUGAAUGGAGGGAAAUGACCUAUUUACUUUCUUCCGAGUUUUGCUGAAGCAAAUGAGUUUAAUCACUCUGUGCAGUAGGAAGCUUUGAGUAGGGAUUACAUGUACGUAAAAGUUGAGGAAAAAAUAUACAGUUGGACGUACACCUUAGAACAAUGGCCUCAGCUCUCCGGCGUGAUCUCACAUCCAUUCACACCCGGUGCUUUUCAGCCUGAGGAGCACUGUCCUGGGUGUCAUCUCAUUUGCACACAGCAGCAAGCUCUGAGCCAAGGAGGGGGGUGUUGUUUGUAUUGUUACUGAUGCUCCUGCUUCCCGUCAGAGGAAGCUGAAGCUCAGCUGGAGGGAGCGACCUUCCAAAUCCUACAGCUGUAGUUGCCCAAGUGGAUUAGAACCCAGGGUUUCUGAUCCCCAGCCUUAUAUUCCAACCAUCUCCGUCUUCUUCUACUCCAAUAUGCCACUCUCCUCCGCUUUGCAGAGACAAGUUUGCUGUCAUAGCACCUAAGCUGAGCAGCUUUGGAGUAGGACCCACAGAGAAAGAGGUCCUCUCUCCGUUGUAAGACCCCUCAACCUCUAAGCUGUCUCAGGGCUGACACCUUCCCCCAUCAGGUCUCCAUCUCCAGGUAGCCUUCUUAGAGAGCACGUUUGUGAUUCUCCUCUCAAAAGCAGUCUCCCACCCCCACCCUACCGUGGUUUGUCACAUCGUCCCAUAUAUUUCCUUCAUAGUACUAAACCUAUCUGUGUAAUGACCAUGAUGUGUGUUUGUUAACCUGUUUGCUACCUCCUCCAUGACACAGCAGCUCCAUUUGAAGAGCAGGCUGGGGAACCCUGCUCACUACCUGCCCUCAUCACCCACAGCAGAGUCUGGCAUAUAGAAGGUGCUCAGGAAGGACACCAGCCAGGGAAACAGGACAAGAACCACUACAUCAAGUCAUUCUAAGGCUCACAAUGAGGGAUGGAGGCAACUUCACAUUCUGGCUGAACCUCUUACCCUUUAUCUGACCUUGAGAGACUCAUUUUAACCUCUGCUAAUGGCUGAAUUGUGUCCUCCCCACCCCUAAACUCAUAUGACCAAGUCCUAACCCCCAAUACCUCCAAAUGGGUCUAUAUUUGGACACAGGGCCGUCCUAACCCCACAUGACCGGUAUCCUAAUAAGAGGAGGAAAUUGAGACACAAAACCUACAGAGGAAAGAUGAUGUGAAGAUGCAGUGAGGAGGUGGCCCAUCUACAAGCAAAACAGAGUUCUCAGAAGAAACCAAUCCUGCCAACACCUUGAUCUCAGAUUUCUAGUCUCCAGAAUUGUGAAAAAAUACAAUUGCAUGGUUUAAGCAAAUCAGUCUGUGGAGCCCUAGCAAACUGAUACAACCUCUCUAAGACUUAUUUUUUCAUCUCUAAAAUAAGAAUGGUCAGUACUAUUUAAUGUGGAUUAAUGAAAUAAUGUAUAGAAAGAGACAUAAUGCAGUGACAGUAACAUAGACAUCACUCAGAAAUACUAGCCACAAAUUGUCUACUUUCCUCCUAGAAUCUAACUCCUUCAUAUGGCAGUUAUCAGUAUGAUAAUCUUAGCAGAUUUCACAUAGAAGAUAGUUUAGAAUUGCGAUACCUGUAUAAUUUCAAAGUAACACCAAGACGGCUUUACAUUAAACACCCAAUUGAUAAUUGUAGUAUGAAUAAUGAAGGAAUGAAUUUGUAAGCAUAAUGGAUAUACCAAUCUAUUCUCUGGGUAAGCAAUUCCCUCCAAGCGCUAUGACUUAUAGAGGCACCCACCUAAAGCAGAGGGAAAAUUUCCAUUACAAUAAACGCAAACAUAGCAAAGCUGGGAGUUCCUGUUGUGGCUCAGAGAGUUAAGAACCUAACUAGUAUCCAUGAGGAUGCGGGUUUGAUCCCUAGACUCACUCAGUGGGUUAAGGAUCUGGCAUUGCCUCAAACUGUGGCAUAAGUCAGAGAUGCAGCUUGGAUCCCAAGUUGCUGUGGCUGUGGUGUAGGCCAGUAGCUGCAGCUAUGAUUCAACCCCUAGCCUAGAAACUUCCAUAUGCCACAGGUGCAGCCCUAAAAAUAAAAAAAAUAAACACAGCAAAGCCACAUCAUCACCUUAAAUGCAUAUUUAGUUGUGAGGCAAACCAUUCAUCUAUGAAAGAAAAUAAUUUCUAAUUCCUUUCUGGAGCAAGAUUAUAUCUUGAUUCAAGACUUGCUUUGUCUAAAUCCUACUUCUUUCUCCCAGGAAAAAAUCCAAAGCCUUAGAUGUUUCAAGAAAAGCCCUUCACAAACAGACUGACUAAGAAGCAUGGUGUUUCCCAUCCCCCUACUUCCUGGAAGAGGUUCCUGCUUCUCAAAGGUUUGCUCUGUCUAUUGCCAGCACAACCACCUCCAGACACCCACGCCCUGCAUUUCCUGUUGGUAAUGUCCGCUGGAGUAUCUGGUCACAUGGAUGCAAGAAAACACACACACACUGAAAUACAUAAUUGUCAGAGGAAGGAAACUUGGGAAUUGGAAAGGCCCCUUAAUUUAUGAUAAACACACAUUGUUAUUACUGGCUUAUCUUCGUCAUCAUUUGAAAAUAUUUCCACAGGGCAGUUUCUACCUACCUGGGCACCCUACAUUGCCUUAUGCACACACCUCUAGAUUAGAAGCUCGGAGUUCCAUCAUGGCUCAGUAGUUAACGAACCUGACUAGGAUCCACGAGGACAUGGGUUUGAUCCCUGGCCUCUCUCAGUGGCUUAAGGACUUGGUGUUGCUGUGGCUGUGGCGUAGGCUGGCAGCUAUAGCUCUGAUUCGACCCCUAGCCUGGGAACCUCCAUAUGCCACACAUGUGGCCCUCAAAAGACACACACACACAAAAUUAAAUAAAUAGAUGAGAACUUCGUUUCUAGUUCCCUGUCUAAGCAAAGAAUAUUUGCAUUUUUCCAAAAGUACAUUAAUUAGAGGUCCUUGCAGGAGAAGGUGAUCCGAUACAAUUCAUGUGCCCAUAGAACCCUUCCUGACCCUCUUUUUCUUUUUCCCAUAGGAGAGGAAAAACUGGCUAGAACAAAGAAGUACUUUUUUUUCUUGGCAAUUGAUAGCAUGUAGGUUUACACAGUGUACCCAGCCAAGUUGUUAUUUCCUUUCAGUAUAGGCUGAAGUUAGAUUCAUAUGUACUGAAGGAAUAUAAGAACCAUUUGUGUUUUUUUUAUUCCUUAUGAUACAUAAUAACUUUCACAUACCCUCCUGCCAAGAUGUAAAUAUAUUCAAUGGGCAAAUCAUCAGCAGUUCUGAAGAGGAAGCAAAAAGCUGGUUUCACUUAUUUAUUUUGUUUGGUUGAUUGUGUUAGCAUCAGAUUAUUAAAGGUACAUGUUCUCAUUUCCUUUGUUUAUAUUUUAUUAGAACACUAAUGACUGUUAUUAACAUUAUUACCACUCUUUAUAAUAACAUCUUGCCUUUAAAUGAAGUCUUUCGUCCUGAAAUAUCCCAAAGCUGUUUACAACCUAUUAAAUAAAUUAGACAUGGGCCUCACCUCACUCUCCCCAAAAAGGUACCCACUUCCGGCAGUGAAAUCCAGCCGCUGUAUUACCACAAGACUAGCCCAGCCUGGGAUGUCAUUAAGGACGGAAAGGGCCACAGAAAGUUUACUCAAUGUGGGGCUACAAGACCCCUUCAAGGAGAUAGAACCUCAAGCCUCUGGACAAGACAAGAAGUGCCAGACCUUUGUCAUUGCCCCCGCCCAUCUCAUUGUCCCCUACCUUGAGCAACCUGGCUUACUACUUCCUAUGCCCUACUAGGAAAGGUAUGCAGCCCACUCCCUACCCCACCCCUAUAGGGGCAUUAUAUGUGCUCAACCAACCAGCAAGAGUAUCUUAAGACCCCUCUUUUUCCAACCAAUCACCUGUCAACAGGUGUAACAUAAGACUUCUCCUCUCCUUGGGCCAUAAAAACAGACAUGACCAUGCACCUAGGGUCAUCAGCUCUCCCUGAUCAUCAGGAAGUGGUUCUGCCUCACUAGCAGCAUCAGUCUCUUAUCUCAAUAAGCUCUUCUUUCUUUUCACCUAACUAUACUGGAAAAUUCUUUUCUCCAACCUGCAUGCACAGAUGACGACACUCUAGUCAACUAGCCACUAGCCAUGGCACUAAGAGGCCCUAAAAGACAAGCAGAACAAAGGCCCUUUUUGAACUGUGGACCUUGAUCAAAGGUCUAAAGAGCUGGAUUGAUGAUUUGUCUUAUCUUCUGGACCCAGGCCUAAAAUAGUUAGAGGUGCAAAUCAGGAAAUAUGGUAUUUCUGCGAAUAUUAAAGGGAAAAAAGUUGCAGAUUUAUGAGAAAGAGAGUUAAUGCUCCUGAGGCAUUUAACCAUUGAAAUCAUCUGAACUGAAUCCAAAUACCUGUCUUUUUCAUGUUCACUUUUAUUAUUCACCUUCAAUGAUGAGAAUAUUGAAAACUGCUUGAAUCCCAUCCAAUGGUAUGUGUUUUUGUCCAGCCAACCGUUGAUCUAACCACCAUUAAUCUUUAAUUCUGUUAAAUUCAACCGCAUUGCUUUUUGCCUGCAAGACCCCACACGGGAGAGCCUCUUGAACUGGGAAGAAUUUUAGUAGAAGGCAUGUAAGCUAAUCAUUUCUUUUUCCAACAUUUCUCUACUCUUCUGAAUUGGGAGAAAAAAGGGCUACUGUAUUUUUUGACAGUCUGAGUGGACAGCAGUAGUAAUGUGUAACAACUCAUCUGCGAGUAUUCUGAAUUCUUCCUAGCAAGGCCCUCACAGCCCUGGGCCGCUCCUAUCUUUCCAUCCCACACUGUCGGCCCAGAGGGGACUGAAUCCCCUGGGUUCCAAAGGACAUUUGCUGUGCUCAUUCCCUCCAUAUCCAACUUCUCCUUCUGCUGCCGCUCAAGACUUUGUCAUGGAACGACUUCUCUGAGGGAAGAUUUCAGUUUCCUAAUCAAUUCUAGGGAAAAUUUUUCUGGACUGCAUUGAUAGUGUAGCCUGAAUACCAUGGAUUAUGGGCUUGAACUUUAGACAACAAAGCAAGCUCCUUUGAAAUCUAUUUAGCCUUCCAGUCAUCUUUGAUAAUGACUCUCAAUGAAGCCUUAAAUCCAUUUAGGUAUGCUGCUACAUGUUAUAAAACUAGAAAAACACUGGCAUCAGCAUUUGUUCUUUAGGGUAUUUAUAUUUAAGUUGGAGAGGGGGAGUCUAAGGGAAACUUCUUUUAGAGCUGAUGAAUAAUUUGCACUUAUCUAUUUCCGGGGAGCCUGAAAAGUUCCAGGUAGCAGAUUUUUCUACAUGCAAAUUAAAAAUCAGCUACCAUAAAGAAGAGAGGACUAUAUCAUGAACAAAAAUUCAAACUCCUUUUGAGGAGUUCCCAUCGUGGGGCAGUGGUUAACGAAUCUGACAUGAGGUUGCGGGUUCGAUCCCUGCCCUUGCUCAGUGGGUUAAGGAUCUGGCAUUGCCAUGAGCUGUGGUGUAGAUCGCAGACGUGGCUCGGAUCCCACGUUGCUGUGGCCCUGGCGUAGGCCGGUGGCUACAGCUCCGAUUAGACCCCUAGCCUGGGAACCUCCAUAUGCCGUGGGAACAGCCCUAAAAAAG